CUCUGGAGCCACAGUCCAGGAAAGCUGAGAGCUGAAACUCUGGGCUGUGAAGGCCCACAGAGGAAGAGCCUGGAGAGCCCACCUCUGGCCAUCAGUCUCUGAUGCUCUGUUCACGGCUGUCCCCUGAGAGGUCAUGGGCUUCUCUGUUUGACCCAAGCAGGUACUCAGGGUCAAGGCUGGAACCCAGGUCUCAUGUCCCCUGCUCUUUGCUUUGUUCUCGCUGCCCCUGACCCAGGGCCCUUCUGUAUCCCUGACCUUGUCCCUGCCCUGGUCCCCUUCCCUCUCUGCCCUGAGUUGUUAUAAGACCCCCUCCUUAUUCCCCAUCCCACUCUACCCCCUGACUUCCCAUCAGUAAACAUGACAGGCUGUUCUGGGGUGGAACAACAGGCCAGUAUCCCAAGUGGCCAAUGUCCCCUAAGGACAGGCGGUGGAGCUGGCUAUAGCUUCUAGUUUCCAGUUAGGCCUGAACUACUGACUCUGUUCCAGCUAAAAGACACUAUCAGUGUCUCUGAACUCUGUCUGCACUAAGUUCUAGAGGGACAGCUUUGGGAUGCACACAGCAUGCCCAGUUCCUGAGGGGCACCAGGUCUGAGAAGCUGAAAUUGCCAUGGAUUGGCUGCACUUGGAGAACGGACAAGAGGAAGGGAAGAAAAGAAGGAAGAGAGGGAGAAAUCAGGGUGGCCAUCCCUGCUGUGACGUCACCACCGCAACAACAUCUCUCCGUGGGAUCAAUUCCUGAUCUCAACAGAAACUUCCAGUCACAAAACCAACAGACCUCACAGGAGUUCUGUAACAGGCAGAGGGAGGGAAUAGGACAAGGGUGGAUCCAGGGACUCAGGGAUGUGGGGCUCACAUAGAAGACCGCAAGCAAAUGGCAGAGAUGACUGUAGAUAUUUGCCGGUGGGGAUGUGCUCCUGAUGCGUAGAAGCUCAACACCAUGCAAGCUCAGAGACCCGCUUGACCAUCCCAAAAGCAUGCUUCCUCCCUAGCACACACUCUAGUGGAAGUGAUGCCUAGAUGCUCAGCCCACUGUCUAACUGCCUCCCUGGAGGUGGUACCUGAAAAGCUCCUACUCUGAGUCUUACUCAGUAGUCACCAUAAGAAAUUUGAUAGCCAGUGUGGUAGCACACAUCUGGAAAUCCCACUGCUGGGGAGGGGGAGGCAAGAGUAUUGAGAGUUUGAGGCUAGCUUGGAAAACAAAGCAACACCCUGUCUCAAAAAACAACCACAAAAUCAGAGAUUGGUUAAUUGUGACCCUUCAUGCCUAAGCCUGCUGUGACUCAGCAUGUUUCCAAUGUGUCUUCAAGGGCUCUUGUGUCAGAGUUGGGUAUAUAGUAUGCUUGGGCUCCUGAGAAGUGGUUGGUCCUUUGUAAGGUGGGACCUAGUGGGAGAUACUUAGUUCUCUGGGUAGCUGCCCUUAAAAGAGAUUAAGUUAAAGUCUUAUAGGACCCCUGGGGUCUCACGAGAGUUAUGAGCAUGAGCCUGGGCCAGGCAUAGUGGCUCACACCUGGACUCCUAGCAGUCAGGAAGCUAAAGCAGGGCAAUUGUUGAGUUUGAGGCCAGCUCUAACUACACGGUGAGUUCCAGGCCAUCCUGGGCUACACUGUGAGACACAAUCAGAACAAAAAAGACAAGUGAGGUUGGUCCCUAAACAACUCUGGCUUCUUGGCUUAAGAUACACUCUUUUCCUUCCACUUGUCCCUGGCACUGAUACCAUCCAUCUUAGCAUCCUCAGCAGAAGCCUAAUUAAUGGGACCACCCAAUCUUGGACCUGAACCCCAGAAAGUGGGGAGGAUGUUUUGAGACUCAACCAUGUUAUAUCAAUACCAGACCGGAUACUUUCUGCCUUUGUUUGUGAGUGAAAGGAACAAUCAUGUCAGAUCUGACGGCACGAAUCGGAACUCCACGUGACCGGUCAGGACAGGAGUCACUCUAGGUACACGGCUGUUUGGUGUUUCUCAGCACAGGGGCACUUCUGGUCACAAGGUGGACAUCUACAGUCAUGUGUGUGUUCUUCGGGUCAGCACAUUGUCUCUGUUUUGUGGAUGUGAGCGGGAAACCGUUGAUGGGCACGUAUCCGCCGCCUCGCACAAGAAACGCCAAUACUGUGUUUGCUGAUGGAAAAAUGAAAAGACUGGAAUAACCUUCAAACACAACUUCAACCACUGGAUAUUUUUGAGUGGUUGUGCAUUUUCUUGUAGCUGGACAUAGUGGCACAUGUCUUUAGUCCUAGCACUGAGGAGGCAGAGGCAGGCAGAUCUCUGUGAGUUCAAGGCCAGCCUGGUUUACAUAGUAAUUCCCACACCAGUCAGGGAUAAGUAGUGAAAGCUUGUCUUAAAAAAAUAAAGUUACUUGUAAUUUUUAAA